GAUGAACGCUGGCGGCGUGCCUAAUACAUGCAAGUCGAGCGAACAGACGAGGAGCUUGCUCCUUUGACGUUAGCGGCGGACGGGUGAGUAACACGUGGGUAACCUACCUAUAAGACUGGGAUAACUUCGGGAAACCGGAGCUAAUACCGGAUAAUAUUUCGAACCGCAUGGUUCGAUAGUGAAAGAUGGCUUUGCUAUCACUUAUAGAUGGACCUGCGCCGUAUUAGCUAGUUGGUAAGGUAACGGCUUACCAAGGCAACGAUACGUAGCCGACCUGAGAGGGUGAUCGGCCACACUGGAACUGAGACACGGUCCAGACUCCUACGGGAGGCAGCAGUAGGGAAUCUUCCGCAAUGGGCGAAAGCCUGACGGAGCAACGCCGCGUGAGUGAUGAAGGUCUUCGGAGCGUAAAACUCUGUUAUUAGGGAAGAACAAACGUGUAAGUAACUGUGCACGUCUUGACGGUACCUAAUCAGAAAGCCACGGCUAACUACGUG
rnacentral:rRNA from 1 species